rnacentral:rRNA from 1 species
GGGGAUAACUACUGGAAACGGUAGCUAAUCCCGCAUAACGUCGCAAGGCCAAAGAGGGGGACCUUCAGGCCUCUUGCCAUCGGAUGUGCCCAGAUGGGAUUAGCUUGUUGGUGGGGUAACGGCUCACCAAGGCGACGAUCCCUAGCUGGUCUGAGAGGAUGACCAGCCACACUGGAACUGAGACACGGUCCAGACUCCUACGGGAGGCAGCAGUGGGGAAUAUUGCACAAUGGGCGCAAGCCUGAUGCAGCCAUGCCGCGUGUAUGAAGAAGGCCUUCGGGUUGUAAAGUACUUUCAGCGGGGAGGAAGGGAGUAAAGUUAAUACCUUUGCUCAUUGACGUUACCCGCAGAAGAAGCACCGGCUAACUCCGUGCCAGCAGCCGCGGUAAUACGGAGGGUGCAAGCGUUAAUCGGAAUUACUGGGCGUAAAGCGCACGCAGGCGGUUUGUUAAGUCAGAUGUGAAAUCCCCGGGCUCAACCUGGGAACUGCAUCUGAUACUGGCAAGCUUGAGUCUCGUAGAGGGGGGUAGAAUUCCAGGUGUAGCGGUGAAAUGCGUAGAGAUCUGGAGGAAUACCGGUGGCGAAGGCGGCCCCCUGGACGAAGACUGACGCUCAGGUGCGAAAGCGUGGGGAGCAAACAGGAUUAGAUACCCU